GGUGGGACUAAGACAUGUUAGUUGAGCGCCUCUAAGCUAUGGUAGAGACGCAGCAAACGGCUCAGUAACACGUGGCUAACCCACCUUUAGGACGGGCACAACCCCGGGAAACUGGGGCUAAUGCCCGAUAGGCGAGGACGCCUGGAAUGACCCUUCGCCCAAAGGGUGCUGAGACCAUGCACACAGCAUCGCCUAAAGACGGGGCCGCGACCGAUCAGGCUGUUGGCGAGAUAAAGGCUCACCAAACCUAUAACCGGUACGGGCCGUGAGAGCGGGAGCCCGGAGAUGGGCACUGAGACAAGGGCCCAGGCCCUACGGGGCGCAGCAGUUACGAAACCUCCACAAUGCACGAAAGUGCGAUGGGGCUACCCCGAGUGCCGUCCGCUGAGGAUGGCUUUUCCUUAGCGUAAUGAACUAGGGGAAUAAGGAGAGGGCAAGACUGGUGUCAGCCGCCGCGGUAAUACCAGCUCUCCGAGUGGUAGGGAUGAUUAUUGGGCUUAAAGCGUCCGUAGCCGGCUCGACAAGUCCCCUGUUAAAUCCAACGACUCAAUCGCUGGACUGCAGGAUAUACUGUUGGGCUAGGGGACGGGAGAGGCCGACGGUAUUUCCGGGGGAGGGGUGAAAUCCUAUAAU
rnacentral:rRNA from 1 species